rnacentral:tmRNA from 20 species
GGGGGCGUAACGGAUUCGACGGGAUUGAAUCGUGGUGGGGAGGCGUGCCGGGUUCCGAGCUCCCGUAAAACGAUCGGAAAACAUAACUGCCAACACGCAGUUUGCAUACGCUGCUUAAUUAAUUAAGUAGCCGUUCCAGCCACUGAGCCUGCGCGGUGGUGAGUGAACGUCAUUUUGCAGGAUAGGCCAAGAGCUUCGGUCCGGAGCUGGCGGCUGAGACUCAAUCGGGCUAAGCUGCCACCGCCCUUGCCGGUUCAGGGGUGGCCGCCGACAACCAUGAGCCGGAUACGCACGUAGUUCUCUCCAGUACGGGCUUUUUCGGACGGGGGUUCAACUCCCCCCGCCUCCACCA